rnacentral:sRNA from 2 species
CCCCCUUGGGGAGUAGCCUGCUUCCACCCUGGAAGCGCAUGCGUCAACAUACUCGGCAUUCAAUUUGCUGUGGCGUAUGCAUCCGUUCUUCGGUUGGCGAGACCAUAGGCAUUUCAUCGCGACGAGCUCGGGCCGCGGUGAGAUGCCGUUGUGCUCAUGCCCGA